GGAUGUGAGGGCAAUCUGGCUGCGAUAUCUGUCACCCUUUUGUUCACCAAGGUUGAUUAGGCUGAUCUGGCUAGGCGGGUGUCCCCUUCCUCCCUCACUGCUCCAUGUGCGUCCUUCUCAAAGCGAAUCCCCUGCAGGUGGGGAGCUGGGAGAUCGAACAGGGAUCCUUAAGCUGGUCAUGCGCUUAACACGAUGCGCUACCACUUGACUCUCGUUAUUAUAACACUUCUUAAGUGAUACCAGGUUUCAAACCUGGCAAGUCACAAGCCUUACUUGGUUUGGGCAGCUAUCUCUCUAGUUCUACCAUAUUC
rfam:Erinaceus europaeus unplaced genomic scaffold scaffold00275, whole genome shotgun sequence